UUAAUUUUUCAAGCCCAAUUCUUUUUAUUUGAAACUACAUUUUGAAGCCCAAAUUUUGGAAAAGCCCAACAUAAGACCCUACACGAUAUGCUUUAGCUCAAAUCUCCCGUGAUUCCACGUUUUUCGUAAGUUCAACCAGUUCCACAUAAUCUGGGAAUAUACUGCAAUGAUCCACGAGAUUUUUUCUACGCAUACAAAUCUGCCCACGACUCCACGAUUCAUCAUAUUCAAUCAAUUCCAAGAGAAAUCGGGAGCUAAAAUUCAGAGAGAGAGACGAUAGAAGCGGACAGCAGCUGCGUGGACGGCGACGACUCCUGGCCAUCGCAACAGCCUCGCAACCGGCGGCCAGCAGCAGCGGAUGAAACUCCAAGAGGGCAGCGGCGGCGAACGAUUCGGAGAUGACACACAGAGCAUGAGGAGAGAGCGAAUAGCAGCAACAGCGGCGGCACCGACGCUCACCACAAGGAUGGCGACAACGGCGAGUCCGUUGACGGAUGCGACGGCGGAGAGCGACUCCAGCUGCGGCUGAUCGGGACCGCUUGGGGUAGAGCAGCAGUGGCGGCGACUCGGCAAUAACAGUGGCGGCGGCGCUGAAGCCGCUGUGAUUUGACGGAGGCGAUCGAAUUGAGGGGAUGUGCAGAGAGUGAACCGGAGAAGAGAGAGAGAUGAGAGUUGUGGUUGGAUGUGAGAAAGAGAUAGAUAGAGUUGAUGGAGAGGGGGAUGACCGAGAGGGGGAACACGAAGAGCAGAAUAUAAGGGAAAUUGCGAGUUGGGAAUUUAAAUGGGGUUUAUUGAUUUGGAGAGUUGAGAAGUGAGACAGAAGUCGCUGAUUUGGGGAUCCAAACUGAUUUUGAGUUGAUAAAGGUGAGAGGCAGAGAGAGAGAUCGGGAAGAGAGGGAGAGAAUGAACUUGCUGCUCAAAAUCAGGGGAUGAAGAUACUAAUGGGCUCGUUUUUUUUCUCUCUUUCCAAAGCUCGGGCUGUCCCAUUUAUAAACGAAAGAAAAGAGAAGCAUGACUCAAUGAAAGGAAAUUCUCCGCUGACAAAAUUGCAGUCGAAGUAUGGAAUUCAAAUUCAGAAAAAUUAACGAACGAGGUUGAGCGGUGACGAGCGCGGAAGGUGUUGAGCAUAAAAGUUGAAGAAUGUCUAUCAAAUGUCUAGAAUAUGUUGUGUCUUCAUACAUAGCAUUAUUCUACUCUCGAAAUGCUUCCGCUGAAUAUUAUUUCUUUCGCCAAAUAUUGUUGAGAUCAUAUUUGUUUUGAGUUGUUGAUUGUUGAGAUACUCUAAUUUUAUUCAAGCUAUUCCUGUUUGUUUCGAGCUA